UGGGAGAGCUCAGUUGGUACAGCAUGAGACUCUUAAUCUCAAGGCCAUGGGUUCAAGCCCCAUGUUGGGAAAAG